CUGUGCAUAUAGAGCUGCUCGACGACAUGACCAGUGAUCUUUAUUAAUGCUCUUCGAACCUUUAUCGCCAUACGUGGAAGUGUUCGACAGCUUCGGUCAGAUCAGGGCACCAACUUUGUUGGAGCAAGACGAGAGUUCUUGGAGUCUGUAAAGAAAAUGGACCAAGAAAGCCUAAGACAACUAGGCUGUGAGUUUGUCAUGAACCCAGCAUCUGCCAGCCAUAUGGGUGGGGCCUGGGAAAGGCAGAUCAGGACAAUUAGAAGUGUGUUGACAUCCAUUCUGGAUCAUUCAUCCAAAAGACUUGACACUUCAUCCUUGCGUACCUACCUUUAUGAAGUCAUGGCGAUCAUAAAUAGUAGGCCCUUAACAACUCACCUGCUGAAUGAUCCCACUGGUCCACAGCCUCUUACACCGAAUCACAUCCUGACCAUGAAGUCUUCAGUGGUUUUACCACCACCUGGUGAGUUUGUGAAGGAAGACCUUUAUCUUUGCAAGAGAUGGCGCAAGGUGCAAUACCUGGCCAAUGAAUUUUGGACCAGAUGGAAAAGGGAAUACUUGCUGAAUCUUCAGCAGAGAGGAAAAUGGUACAAAACACAGAGAAAUGCCAAGAUCAAUGACAUUGUGAUGCUGAUGGAUAAUAGUCUACCCAGACAUGAGUGGAAGUUGGCCAAGGUAACCAAGGUGUACCCUAGUGAGGAUGGAAUCAUUAGGAAACUCGAGCUGCUAAUCAGUGAUGCGACACUGGAUGACCAAGGAAAAAGAGUUAAUAAGCCAGUGUAUCUUGAGAGACCCAUCCACAAAACAGUUACCCUACUUGAAGCUGAAUAGUUCAGAACUCCUGUCUCUGUAACUUAUGUUUGACCCAAGAGACUAUCUACACUUAUUUUUUCCUUUGCAAUGAGGUUCAGUUGAAAAUCACCAGUGAUUUGGUGGGAGUGUGGCUGCCGUCAGCAGCAGUUAUGCAGUUUAAGAUAAUUUCAUGGUUUAAGUUACAAUAAAUAAGUUAAAAAUACCUUAUUUUAAUAUAUCAGAUUUAAUGUAUACAUUGUUGGUUUGAAAAUAAACAUUUAAAGAGGUUUACAGAAUGUUUCCAGGGUGGAACCAAUGUUCAGUCUGUUGUUUGGGGUUGACAAUAUUUUCAGUUACACGCCACACUCGAUAGAGGGCAGCAUGCUUUCCUCUCUCACUUGGUGGUAGAGCUAUGCAGACACAUGCAACGAAGUUUUCCAGCUGUGAGAAGGAGUGACACUGCAAGAUGUGUUUUCAUUAACCCCUGCAAGUUAAUGCGGCCAAUGAGUUCUCACGGCAUCGUUGGUGGCACCUGUGUGCAAUAAAUGCCAGUAAAA